rnacentral:rRNA from 1 species
CCAGACUCCUACGGGAGGCAGCAGUGGGGAAUAUUGCACAAUGGGGGAAACCCUGAUGCAGCGACGCCGCGUGAGUGAAGAAGUAUUUCGGUAUGUAAAGCUCUAUCAGCAGGGAAGAAAUAGCGACCUUUGGGUCGCCAGACGGUACCUGAUUAAGAAGCCCCGGCUAACUACGUGCCAGCAGCCGCGGUAAUACGUAGGGGGCGAGCGUUAUCCGGAAUUACUGGGUGUAAAGGGAGCGUAGACGGCGACGCAAGUCUGGAGUGAAAGCCCGGGGCCCAACCCCGGGACUGCUCUGGAAACUGCGUCGCUGGAGUACGGGAGGGGCAGGCGGAAUUCCUGGUGUAGCGGUGAAAUGCGUAGAUAUCAGGAGGAACACCGGCGGCGAAGGCGGCCUGCUGGACCGUGACUGACGUUGAGGCUCGAGAGCGUGGGGAGCAAACAGGAUUAGAUACCCUUGUA